rnacentral:rRNA from 1 species
CUGAAACCGUGUACGUACAAGCAGUGGGAGCCUCUUAAUGGGGUGACUGCGUACCUUUUGUAUAAUGGGUCAGCGACUUAUAUUCUGUAGCAAGGUUAACCGAAUAGGGGAGCCGAAGGGAAACCGAGUCUUAACUGGGCGUUAAGUUGCAGGGUAUAGACCCGAAACCCGGUGAUCUAGCCAUGGGCAGGUUGAAGGUUGGGUAACACUAACUGGAGGACCGAACCGACUAAUGUUGAAAAAUUAGCGGAUGACUUGUGGCUGGGGGUGAAAGGCCAAUCAAACCGGGAGAUAGCUGGUUCUCCCCGAAAGCUAUUUAGGUAGCGCCUCGUGAAUUCAUCUCCGGGGGUAGAGCACUGUUUCGGCAAGGGGGUCAUCCCGACUUACCAACCCGAUGCAAACUGCGAAUACCGGAGAAUGUUAUCACGGGAGACACACGGCGGGUGCUAACGUCCGUCGUGAAGAGGGAAACAACCCAGACCGCCAGCUAAGGUCCCAAAGUCAUGGUUAAGUGGGAAACGAUGUGGGAAGGCCCAGACAGCCAGGAUGUUGGCUUAGAAGCAGCCAUCAUUUAAAGAAAGCGUAAUAGCUCACUGGUCGAGUCGGCCUGCGCGGAAGAUGUAACGGGGCUAAACCAUGCACCGAAGCUGCGGCAGCGACACUAUGUGUUGUUGGGUAGGGGAGCGUUCUGUAAGCCUGUGAAGGUGGCCUGUGAGGGUUGCUGGAGGUAUCAGAAGUGCGAAUGCUGACAUAAGUAACGAUAAAGCGGGUGAAAAGCCCGCUCGCCGGAAGACCAAGGGUUCCUGUCCAACGUUAAUCGGGGCAGGGUGAGUCGACCCCUAAGGCGAGGCCGAAAGGCGUAGUCGAUGGGAAACAGGUUAAUAUUCCUGUACUUGGUGUUACUGCGAAGGGGGGACGGAGAAGGCUAUGUUGGCCGGGCGACGGUUGUCCCGGUUUAAGCGUGUAGGCUGGUUUUCCAGGCAAAUCCGGAAAAUCAAGGCUGAGGCGUGAUGACGAGGCACUACGGUGCUGAAGCGACAAAUGCCCUGCUUCCAGGAAAAGCCUCUAAGCAUCAGGUAACAUCAAAUCGUACCCCAAACCGACACAGGUGGUCAGGUAGAGAAUACCAAGGCGCUUGAGAGAACUCGGGUGAAGGAACUAGGCAAAAUGGUGCCGUAACUUCGGGAGAAGGCACGCUGAUAUGUAGGUGAAGCGACUUGCUCGUGGAGCUGAAAUCAGUCGAAGAUACCAGCUGGCUGCAACUGUUUAUUAAAAACACAGCACUGUGCAAACACGAAAGUGGACGUAUACGGUGUGACGCCUGCCCGGUGCCGGAAGGUUAAUUGAUGGGGUUAGCGGUAACGCGAAGCUCUUGAUCGAAGCCCCGGUAAACGGCGGCCGUAACUAUAACGGUCCUAAGGUAGCGAAAUUCCUUGUCGGGUAAGUUCCGACCUGCACGAAUGGCGUAAUGAUGGCCAGGCUGUCUCCACCCGAGACUCAGUGAAAUUGAACUCGCUGUGAAGAUGCAGUGUACCCGCGGCAAGACGGAAAGACCCCGUGAACCUUUACUAUAGCUUGACACUGAACAUUGAGCCUUGAUGUGUAGGAUAGGUGGGAGGCUUUGAAGUGUGGACGCCAGUCUGCAUGGAGCCGACCUUGAAAUACCACCCUUUAAUGUUUGAUGUUCUAACGUGGGCCCCUUACCGGGGUUGCGGACAGUGUCUGGUGGGUAGUUUGACUGGGGCGGUCUCCUCCUAAAGAGUAACGGAGGAGCACGAAGGUUGGCUAAUCCUGGUCGGACAUCAGGAGGUUAGUGCAAUGGCAUAAGCCAGCUUGACUGCGAGCGUGACGGCGCGAGCAGGUGCGAAAGCAGGUCAUAGUGAUCCGGUGGUUCUGAAUGGAAGGGCCAUCGCUCAACGGAUAAAAGGUACUCCGGGGAUAACAGGCUGAUACCGCCCAAGAGUUCAUAUCGACGGCGGUGUUUGGCACCUCGAUGUCGGCUCAUCACAUCCUGGGGCUGAAGUAGGUCCCAAGGGUAUGGCUGUUCGCCAUUUAAAGUGGUACGCGAGCUGGGUUUAGAACGUCGUGAGACAGUUCGGUCCCUAUCUGCCGUGGGCGCUGGAGAACUGAGGGGGGCUGCUCCUAGUACGAGAGGACCGGAGUGGACGCAUCACUGGUGUUCGGGUUGUCAUGCCAAUGGCACUGCCCGGUAGCUAAAUGCGGAAGAGAUAAGUGCUGAAAGCAUCUAAGCACGAAACUUGCCCCGAGAUGAGUUCUCCCUGACUCCUUGAGAGUCCUGAAGGAACGUUGAAGACGACGACGUUGAUAGGCCGGGUGUGUAAGCGCAGCGAUGCGUUGAGCUAACCGGUACUAAUGAACCGUGAGGCUUAACCUUACAACGCCGAAG